UACAGAGACUGCAAGCGUUAUUCGGAUUCACUGGGCGUAAAGGGUGCGCAGGCGGUCGGGUGUGUCAGAUGUGAAAUCCCGAGGCUCAACCUCGGAACUGCGUCUGAAACUACUCGACUAGAGUACUGGAGAGGGUAACGGAAUUCACGGUGUAGCAGUGAAAUGCGUAGAUAUCGUGAGGAACACCAGAGGCGAAGGCGGUUACCUGGACAGUUACUGACGCUCAGGCACGAAAGCAUGGGGAGCAGAAGGG
rnacentral:rRNA from 1 species